rnacentral:rRNA from 1 species
UACGGAGGAUCCGAGCGUUAUCCGGAUUUAUUGGGUUUAAAGGGUGCGCAGGCGGGGGAUUAAGUCGGCGGUGAAAUUUUGCAGCUCAACUGUAAAAGUGCCUUCGAAACUGGUUUCCUUGAGUGUAGAUGAAGUAGGCGGAAUUUGUGGUGUAGCGGUGAAAUGCUUAGAUAUCACGAGGAACUCCGAUUGCGCAGGCAGCUUACUAAACUACUACUGACGCUCAGGCACGAAGGCGUGGGGAUCAAACAGGAUUAGAUACCCGGGUAGUCCCUGAG